AACAAUUAGUCAUAUUUUGUGGAUCGGACACACUUAUCACCUUACAAAUACAAGGAGUAUUGUCAGUUUGUGUAUAGAUAUGAACCUGCAAUAGGUAAGAGUAGUAAAGGCCCAAAUUUAGGUCGACUUCAUGUUAGCAUAUGCUGAUGUAGUGAUAUUGAAUGAUCAAAGUCAUCUUUUGUCCUCGUUUUCCAUUGCCCAGUAGCAUUAUGACCCUUGUCCUAUGGCCGACAAUAUACCCGUUUCAGGCACAACCUCACUGCAUACCACUGGCAACCAUAUUUUGUAAUGGCCUCAAACUACAUGUUUGAGGACCAUUUACUGUCUUUGAGUGUGUAUACCAUUGGAUCGCUGUUGGACCAGCAGUUCCAGGUACCAGCUAUCUUACUCAUGAGAUCAUCAGUAUAAAGCUCUGGGACUCGACUCUUUUUCCCUUCACUUUUCUAACGGAGAAUCAAAUGGAGAGGCAAGAAACUAGAAAAGUCAUGACCUUUCGGAGUGGAGUAAUGACUGGUAGAAGAUAUGUGAUUCCAGCUUGCCACAGCAACAAAAUUCCUUUUUGAAACCUUUCGGGAAGUUUACAUUUUGAAAUAAUCUCCACUAUUUGUAGGUCUAUUUUAGACUAUCUGAGAAGUUUUCAUCCUUUGAGAGGGGUACUCUAGUUUAGUUGAACUUAGAACAUUCCAUCUUUGAUUUAACGGUUGAGUAUGUUUCUCAAUUUGUUGUCGUUUCCAAUGUAUGGUGCAGUACCUUGAUGAGAACAAGAAAUUGAUCUUGGCAAUUAUAGACAAUCAAAAUCUUGGCAAACUUGUUGAAUGUGCCCAGUAAGCAGUUCUCUUCAUCCUCUGUUGUCAACACGCUUUCCCUGAUGACAUCUUUUGUUAAAAAAGGUUUCAGAUAUUGCUAAAUGAUGGCUAGUUUUGUUUUUCAUGUCAAAGAAAGAUGUUUAUCAUUUUGAGUCAUUCAGAUAUCUUGUAAGAUUGUGUUCAUCUACUAUAGUUUACUUGCAGCAUAUAGGGACAAAUACAUACUGUAACU
rnacentral:lncRNA from 1 species